UCCCUCUUAGCUCAGUGGUAGAGCGCGUCACUAGUAUCCGUACCCAGGUCAAACAGUGCAUAUACAUGACGAGGUCAGUCGUUCAAGUCGGCUAGAGGGAA